rnacentral:rRNA from 1 species
UACGUAGGGGGCGAGCGUUAUUCGGAUUCACUGGGCGUAAGGCGUGCGUAGGCGGUUUUGUAAGUUGGAAGUGAAAGCCCAGGGCUUAACCCUGGAAUUGCUUUCAAAACUACAAGACUUGAAAUCGGGAGAGGAUAGCGGAAUUCUCAGUGUAGCAGUGAAAUGCGUAGAUAUUGAGAGGAACACCAGUGGCGUAAGCGGCUAUCUGGACCGACAUUGACGCUGAGGCACGAAAGCGUGGGGAUCAAACAGG